CCCAGGGUUAGCCGGUACCUUAGUCGAGGCCGAAAGGCGUAGACGAUGGAUAGAAGGUCAAUAUUCCUUCGCCACAUGGGUACUUCGAUGCGGGGACGGCGUCCAGAAAGUGAGCGGUACGAAUAGAAAUGUCCGUAGCGAAAACUGAGGUGUUGGGGGAUAAAUGACCUGACAUAAGCCAAGGUUGAGCUCGAGAGCAUCCAAGUUCUCGAAGUCAUUGGAAGGACGUCCAAGAAAAGCCGCUAAGUUAUGUGCCCUGUGACCGUACUAAAACUGACACAGGUAGGCGAGAUGAGAAUUCUAAGGCGCUCGGGAGAACGGUGGUUAAGGAACUCUGCAAAAUGGCCCCGUAAGUUCGCGAUAAGGGGCGCCUCCGACGGUUCACGCUGUUGGAGGCCACAGAAAAUCGGCUCUAACGACUGUUUAUCAAAAACACAGGUCUCUGCUAACACGCAAGUGGAUGUAUAGAGACUGACGCCUGCCCGGUGUUGGUAGGUUAAGGAAGACGGUUAGCUCUUCGGAGCGAAGCUGGCGACCGAAGCCCCAAUAAACGGCGGCCCUAACUAUGAGGGUCCUAAGGUAGCGAAGUUCCUUGUCGGGUAAGUUCCGACCUGCAUGAAAGGCGUAACGAUUGGAGCACUGUCUCAACCACCGACCCGGUGAAAUUGUAGUUGUGGUGAAGAUGCCACAUACCCGCGGUUAGACGGAAAGACCCCGUGAACCUUUACUGUAGGCUGCUAUUGGGUUGAGAUAUGUCUUGUGUAGGAUAGCUGGGAGACUUUGAACUUUGCACGCUAGUGUAGAGGGAGUCGUUGUUGAAAUACCAGCCUGGUCAUAUUUUAAUUCUAACUUUGAUCCCCUGAAACGGGGCAAAGGACAGUGUCAGUCGGGCAGUUUGACUGGGGCGGUCUCCUCCCAAAGAGUAACGGAGGAGUGCAAAGGUACACUCAGCCUGGUCGGCAAUCAGGCGUAGAGCGUAAAGGUAGAAGUGUGCUUGACUGCGAGACUCAUAAGUCGAGCAGGAACGAAAGUUGGCCUUAGUGAUCCGGUAAUCCCGAAUGGAAGGGUUAUCGCUCAUCAGAUAAAAGGUACUCCGGGGAUAACAGGCUUAUCGCAUCCGAGCGUCCACAGCGGCGAUGCGGUUUGGCACCUCGAUGUCGGCUCAUCACAUCCUGGGGGUGUAGAAGCUCCCAAGGGUUUGGCUGUUCGCCAAUGAAAGUGGUACGUGAGCUGGGUUCAGACCGUCGUGAGACAGGUCGGUCCCUAUCUGCCGUGGGCGUUCGAAUCUUGAUGGGAUUCAACUUUAGUACGAGAGGAUUUAGUUGGACGAAGCUCUGGUGUACCAGUUGUCGCGCUAGCGGCACGGCUGGAUAGCUAACUUCGGAAAGGAUAAACGCUGAAAGCAUCUAAGCGUGAAGCCCGCCCAGAGAUAAGGAUUCGUAGACAUUAGUCGAAAGCCCCCUGGAAGACUACCAGGUUGAUAGGUUGGACGUGUAAGUGCAGUAAUGCAUUAAGCAAACCAAUACUAACGGGCGAAAGUUUGGCCAC
rnacentral:rRNA from 1 species